GUGACCUCGGAUCAGGUAGGAAUACCCGCUGAACUUAAGCAUAUCAA
rnacentral:rRNA from 1 species